rnacentral:rRNA from 1 species
CGCUGGCGGCGUGCCUAACACAUGCAAGUCGUACGCGAAUCCAGGGCUUCGGCCCUGGUAGUAGAGUGGCGCACGGGUGAGUAACACGUAGAUGAUCUACACUUGGGUUUGGAACAACUUAUCGAAAGGUGAGCUAAUUCCAAAUAAUAUCUGUCGGAGGGAUCCGGUAGAUCAAAGAUGGCCUAUCCUUGGAAGCUAUCGCCCAAGAACGAGUCUGCGUCCCUUUAGCUAGUUGGUGGGGCAAUGGCCUACCAAGGCAACGAUGGGUAGCUGGUCUGAGAGGAUGACCAGCCACACUGGAACUGGAACACGGUCCAGACUCCYACGGGAGGCAGCAGUGAGGAAUAUUGCGCAAUGGGGGAAACCCUGACGCAGCGACGCCGCGUGGGCGAUGAAGGCCUUUGGGUCGUAAAGCCCUGUCAAGGGGAAAGAAACCCCUGAUGGCUAAUAUCCAUUAGGAUUGACGGUACCCCUGAAGGAAGUACCGGCUAACUCCGUGCCAGCAGCCGCGGUAAUACGGAGGGUGCAAGCGUUAUUCGGAAUUACUGGGCGUAAAGCGAGUGUAGGUGGUCUAUUAAGUCAGAUGUGAAAGUCCAUGGCUUAACCAUGGAAGUGCAUCUGAAACUGGUAAACUUGAGUACUGGAUAGGGAAGUAGAAUUCCUGGUGUAGGAGUGAAAUCCGUAGAUAUCAGGAGGAAUACCGGUGGCGAAAGCGACUUCCUGGACAGAUACUGACACUGAGACUCGAAAGCGUGGGGAGCAAACAGGAUUAGAUACCCUGGUARUCCACGCCCUAAACGAUGGGCACUAGGUGCAGGAGGUAUAAACCCCUUCUGUGCCGUAGCUAACGCAUUAAGUGCCCCGCCUGGGGAGUACGGCCGCAAGGUUAAAACUCAAAGAAAUUGACGGGGGCCCGCACAAGCGGUGGAGUAUGUGGUUUAAUUCGACGCAACGCGAAGAACCUUACCUGGGUUUGAUAUCCCAAGAAUCCCGUGGAAACAUGGGAGUGCCCCUUCGGGGGAGCUUGGUGRCAGGUGCUGCAUGGCUGUCGUCAGCUCGUGUCGUGAGAUGUUGGGUUAAGUCCCGCAACGAGCGCAACCCUUGCCUUUAGUUGCUAUCAUUUAGUUGGGCACUCUAAAGGGACUGCCGGUGUUAAACCGGAGGAAGGCAGGGAUGACGUCAAGUCCUCAUGGCCCUUAUGUCCAGGGCUACACACGUACUACAAUGGUCGAUACAAAGGGCAGCAARCUCGUGAGAGUAAGCAAAUCCCAAAAAAUCGAUCUCAGUUCGGAUCGAAGUCUGCAACCCGACUUCGUGAAGUCGGAAUCGCUAGUAAUCGCGGAUCRGCAUGCCGCGGUGAAUACGUUCCCGGGCCUUGUACACACCGCCCGUCACACCACGAGAGUUGAUUGUACCAGAAGUCGUUGUGUUAACCCGCAAGGGAGACAGGCGCCCAAGGUGG